GGGGCCAUAGCUCAAUUGGCAGAGCGCCGCUUUUGCAAGGCGGAGGUUAGGAGUUCGAUUCUCCUUGGCUCCA
rnacentral:tRNA from 1 species